UUAAUAAUGCAACACGUGAUUUUGUUCAAAACAUGUAUGAUAACACUUGUUUGAUUAAAACCUCUGUAUAAUUGAACAGGUUAGAGAUGAUGUUUGGUCACUUGUCGGUGAGAAUGAGAUCAAGAAAUGUAUGUCGUUUCUUGUUCGACUGAAAACGAAGCCAUUACGUUUGUGUUCUUUUCUUUUAAAGUGUCGAGAUUCUAACAAAUGUCGAGCUGUGUUCUUUUGUUUUGAUGAACUGUUCAUUUACUUUCUCUUUUAUUUAUUUAUUUAUUAUUUGGUAAAAUCUUUUUUUUUUGCUAAUUAAAUUACCUUCAGUUAAUGAUUGUGCAGUGAAACUACUGGUUUUUCAUUAUUUGAUAAAGAAUUCGUGAUAUCGUGUCUUCAAGAAAGUAUUAAGAAAUGAUUUACUGUAAAAUAUUUAUGGAUUCUAGACGAUGAAGCACAUGCAACCGCCUUGGAACAAUCGUCACUGCGAAAGUAUAUCAUUUAAUAUUUCUACAACAGGCAUUUAUAUAUCAAAUAAAAAGGUAAAAUAUCAGUCAUUUAUAUAUAUUUUCCAAUGUUGAAAGUAUAUUUUUCUCCUAGAAAAUCCAAGAGAAAUUGCAUUCCAUGUACACCACUAACUGAGUAAUUUGCAAGGAUGGAAUUUAGCAUUUCUCGCUGAUGUGUUUUUUUUUAUUGUCCGCAUUACCCCUAUUCACUGUACAAAACAUUCUAAAAGCCUAACGUACAUACAAAACACCUAUAUCUUUAUCUUAUGCGUGAAAAAAAAUUAUCGGAGAGAAUUACUUCCUUUUUCACUAUAAUCGAUACACUCCUUAUUUCUAAAAUAGCCAUUACAUCUCUCAUCUUUCCCAUUCUCAUUGUUUACUCCGCCGGAACCUUUCUUACAAACUAAUCGAAUUCUCACCGGAUUAUCCAGGCUCUGUACAAUUGUAAGUUUUCUCCCGUAAAAUCUUCUGUUAUUUUAUCUCUCUCCUCUCUCCUAAUUCUCUCCUCCUCUCUUUUACAGAACUUUCUUCUCCACCAUUUGCAUGUACUCUGAUUUUCACCAGAUAUAGGACAAAGUUUAUGUCUUUUGUUGCUUUAGAUCGGAAGGGUCUAUAAUGGGAGGGUUCAAAGGCUUGCGAAGUUCCAGUUUCCAGCAAAGAUCUCUAUAAAUAUUGCAGAGAGGGCCAGACCAGUUUCAGCCAAGGUCUAUUACUGUUGGUGGCAUUUUAGUUUCCAGCAAAGAUCUUACAGAUACUUUGAAGAGGACCAGGCCAAAAUUUAUAUCAAUAACAAGUUUUAGUUUAGCCGUUUUUAUCUAAAGAUAUUCGUCUCAGGUGCUAUCGGUUGUAAAGCAUAAAUUUGCAAUUAAUUAACUAUGCUUUCAGUGUUAUAUCCGGCUAAAAAUCUUUUUAAUCAUAUGUGUUGAGGUUUGGUAAAGAGUUAAUUUUGUGUUUAGCCGUACACAAAUUUUAUCAUGUGUUGUGGUUGGUUAUAGAGUUAAUAUUA